ensembl:miRNA microRNA 1249
UCCUGUUCCUCAGAUGCUUGUUUGCAUGGGGAGGAGGGAGGAGAGGGGCCAAGUUCCCGCUGCCUGGAACGCCCUUCCCCCCCUUCUUCACCUGGCGAACUCCUACUCGUCCUUCAAGAC